UUGAGUCUACAAACUUAAUGCUUAAUAAACUUAUGAUCUUAUACUUAAAGGCACAAUAUACUUAUUUAAUUAUUUAGAAAUGUUAAUUAUAUGUUGUGCAGUUAUGUGUUGCAAAGGUAGCAAAAUGUAAGUAAACAAAGUAGUUUUUUGAAUUCCAUACAAAAUACUAAUUCACUAUAGUUAUACCAACUUGUCAACAAAGCAAAAGAAGCAGAAAUAAAUCAUUUUUAUGGCAAAUUAGUAUUUUAUUGAAAUUGUUACAAGGUACCAAAAGUAAACAGAUUUUGAUAAAAGAAAUGAUUUCUGAGGCAUCAUGUUUCAUUUUUCAAGCGGAUAUUACGAAUUUGUGGUACACCCGCUUUUACGAGGAAAAGAGACGCAAACAUCGCGAGUACGUUAUGAAAAUAUAGUCAUGAAAUUUAGAAGUAAUAACCGUUCCUUCUGACAAGAGUAUGCAAUCACUGUAAUAGGGUUGUAAAUCUUAAUUAUGUCCUUGAUGAAAAGUUAAUUGCCCUUAUAAUGAUUAAUAAAUAAAAAAUAUCUAAUUAUAACAAGAGCUCUAAAGACAUUUUUGGACAUAUUAGUAAUAACCAAAAUCAAUCGCAACAAUUAAAUUACUUUAUUUUUACAGAUACACAAGAGUCACUGAAAGAGCUUAUACAUGACACAAACUUGUAAGAAGAGACAGUUAACAAAAUUCACUUGGAACUGUUAGAUUACUUGAACUACGAACCAACUCAGCCAGAGAGAGAGGAGUGGUUACGUGUUGUAUGUGACACUUACGAGGAGCUUACAAAGGCUAAAGAAACUUUACUAGUCCAUAGAAAAAAGAUUAAGCUAUUACAAAGACAUGCCCCUCAGUGGUGCUGAAAGAGCACGAAGGUAUGUAUAGGGAGAAGAAAAAGCAAAACGCACAAGAAUAAUUAUGCAGAAUACCUUAGCAAGGAAAGGGCCCGGUAUCAUAAGAGGAAAGCAAAGGGUGAAAUAAAACUUGCCUCUGAAAUGACCGACCGCGAACGUAGAAAUGCAAGAAGAUGUUGGAGAGUUCAUAAACAAAGGCAGAAAAAUCUUGAAGCGAACACACCACCACCAUCACCAUCACAUUCAAGUCCAUUUCGUUUGCGGUUAAUUUUCAUGUGCAAAGUUACAGGUUAUAAUGGAUCCUCUUGAAAGCAUGAAGGCUUUACAUCUUGAAAUGUUGGGAGUGUCAUACAAGCUGAGAGGUGGAUCAUCUAUAAAAGACAUUUUCACAAAAUUGGAAACAGUGUCAAGACGUUUAAAUCUUGUUAGGAAAACAUGAUCAUUUCGGGUACAAAAAUAGAGGACUUAAAAGCACAACUUUAAUAUUUACAAGGCAAUUAUGAAUCAUUGUCAAAAAUGUGUGAUGAGAGAACCAAAUUGAUUCAAGAAAAUUGUUUGCUGAAAAAGCAGCUUGCUGCAAUGAAGCAAAACGUGUUUCAAAUGGCCCUAGAAAGCACUCAAGAUUUGUUUGAUUCUGAUUUCGAUGAAGACAAUCAAACAAAUUAAAUGUUGAUGCUGCACAUCAAGAACUCCGCCAAAAGAUGUGAACAGUCAAAGGUAAUGCACAAAAUCAGCCUUGAAAAUCGUUUUCUAUUACAGUUGAAUAUCCGAAGCACUAGUCAAUUUUAUCUCCAUGUUCUUGGAAUGUGCUCGUUGUUUAAUAAUUACGUUGCAUAUUUUUGUGGAAAAGUAUCGCCUAAUGCAUAAAUUCCCAAAGUAAUGCCUUAUCUGAAAUUCUGAAAUGAUGUUGCGACAAAAAUUGAAAUUGGAUAACAAGUAAAAUUGAAAAGAUUGGUAUACUUAAAACAAUUUAGGACUGGUACACUUAAAAUAAAUUUAAGACAAAGAAAAGGGUUAAAGAUAUCUUCGUUUCCCCGAAAAUAUGUCAAUUUAAAUAUUGGUGCGAAUCGCAUUAUGUUCGAAUGAGUUGAGGACGAAUGGCUCUGUUAUUUUACAAAAAAGCAAAAAAGUAAUAACCGUCUAGGUACAAAGUACCGGUUAUAACACACCUUAGCUCCAGGUGAUAUACACCGCCAGCACAUUUACAUCAGAUUGUAAAAAUAGUGAACGGAAAUGUUAGACUUUAUGAAAUCUUCUCAUCAUCUGUAUCUGAUCAAUAUUUUGCAAAACACUAUCUGAUACCGUGUAGUGCACCCAAACACCGAUUUGAGCAGAUCUUACUUUCCGCUUAUAGCAUUUGGUACGCAAAUAUAGUUUGUGUCGCAGAAUUGAUAUAUUAUUGAGUGAAGUUACUACGAAGCCAAUUUUUUUCCAUUAUAUUAAAUACACAAUCUAGGUAUCAAUUAAAGAAGAAACGUUGUAUCUUUUAAAUUGUAUUCACGCGAAGACAACACACUUUUAUUUAGAACAAAUAAUGUGUUUAACAUUACAAGAUCUUACACAAAUAUCUGCUAAAAAUGAUUCCUGCGAAGCCUUAUAUCCAGCAAAAAUACAUGAAAAUCGAGAGUUUUUUUUUAUAUAUGAACGCACAUUAGUUGUCGUUUGUUGUAUUUUCAUUACUUAUCUCACUCUUGCUAUAAGUAAAUAUGUAUUAUUUCAUGUCAGUAACUAGUGAACUUGUACGUGUACAUUAUAAUUUGCUUUAUUUUUACAAUUUACAGGAAAGAAAUCUACGUUGUAUCAUAAUUGUAUAUGUUUGUAUUAUAUGAAAUAAACACUGUUUAAACCAAAUUAGUGAAGAGCGUACAUUAUUUGUUGUGCAUCCGCUGAAUAUACGAGGAAAAGAAACGCAAUCAUCGCGAGUACGUUCAUACAAAUAAGACGUAAUCAUCGUUUCCUUUGUCAAUUGUAAUACAAGAGUUAAUUAUGCAGUCACUUUAAUAGGGCUGCAAAUCUCAAUUAUGUCCUUGAUGAAAAAGUUAAUUGCCCUUGAAAUGAAAACUGAAAAUGAGGGAAAUCUUAAAAGUCAAAGAUAGUCGUAAGUGUUUUGUCUGAUUGUGUUGCUAUAAAAGUAUGUUUGUUUUGAGGAAACAUUCACAAUAGUCGUAAGUCUUUUGUCGGAUUGUGUUGCUAUAAAAGUAUGUUUGUUUUGAGGAAACAUUCACAAUAAAUGCUAAUUCAUUUAUAUCUCAUAUCUAAUUUGUAUUUAGUUGAAGGUUUUUAACACAAAUCUUUAAAAUUAUAUAUAGUUUUUGUAAUAACCUUUAUUAGUUUGUAGUACUGUGGUCCUGUGUUGCUGGGUCAUGUGGGAUUGCGGUCAUUAAACGCCGCCUUUCUUUGAUUAUCUUGUUUUUCGUCUAUUAUAUUUCUCUGUUUUUAUACAUGCUCCCCGAAAAAGUUCGGGGCGCAUAUAGUCGCCGGGAUGUCCGUCCGUCCCGAAUUGGUGUGCGGCCCAUUAAUUCGUUAUUUGAAGUCGAAUUUUACAACUAUUUCACAGAAAUGAUUACCAUAUUGAGACGACGUGUCGCGUGCAACAUUUGGGUCGCUACCUUGUAGGUCAAGGUCACAGCAUGACCUUGCAGCAAAAUCGUGUCCGGCCCAUAACUUCAUUAUUUGAAGUCGGAUUUUACAACUAUUUCACAGAAAUGUUCAUUAUAUUGAGACUACGUGUCACGCAUAACAUUUGGAUCGAUGCCUUGAAAGUCAAGGUAACAGCAUUACCUUGCUUUUAAAUAAUGAACAUAACUACUAAUAUCUACCAUGUUAAGACCAUCUUAUUUGUAUUUGUAAUGAUUGCAGAUUUUUUUUUGCCUUACCUUCCAAUAUAAAAUCAUAAAAUAAGUCAUUAAGUCAUGAAGUGUUUUCAAAAAGCAGUAUAAGUUGUAGGUAGACUUGUAAAACAAUGAGUCAAUAAAGGAAGCAAUAUUGACUUAAAAACAGUGAUUUUUCCUAGUGGAGUUCAUAUCCUUUUUUCCAAUGCCUUGUACUUUUCUUUUACUUUCUGCAGCUUUGAACGUACGGGACAUACAUCUGAAACGGUUAGAGGUAUCAACAUUACACUUUGUAGGUAGAUUGAUCUCAUUAUUAAUUGAAUACAAGUGCAGUGCAAAAGAACCUUAACUCUGCCUUGUCGCUAACUUUGGAGUUAUUGCCCUUCGUUCAUGUUCAAACUUUGAACUUCGUCGACAUAACUCUGAUACUACAAUAGGUAUACUUUCCUGUGUCAAAACCUAUUCGGGGAGCAACAUCCGGCUAAAAAGGUUCUUGUGUUCCAAAAAUUCAACGCCCAGUCACGAGUUUAAUAUUAUGUAUUUAAGGUUUUUUGUUUGAUCCUACCUUUAAAUAAUUGUUAAUGAUUUGUCAAUUGUGUGCUUAUUAGGUAUCCGGCCAGUAUUGUGAUUGACGUUCUCCGGCCUUGUUAAAUAUCCCAUUAACCGGAACCAAAGGAAUGGAUUUCCAUCCACAUCAUCAAAAGUUUGUUGUUUGGGUUUCCUUUUGUUUUGUUUUUGUGGUUUCUUUAUUGGUUUUUGUCGUUUAUUUUUCUUUUUUCACCUGACAAAUCCUUCUAGUCCUUGCGCCCUGUCCCGUUUAUGUGUUUUCUAGGUUCCUAGCCGAUGAUGUUGUGUUAUAUUGGUGAAUGCUUUCACUGAAAGCCUCCCUUCCUUGUUGAUCUUUUUCAUGUUUUGUAUCAACAAUCGUGUUCGAAUAAACCAAUAUUAUGACAUAUUACAAAAGUUUGUGUCAAUUAAUAUUUUCGCAAAAUCAAAUUAUUUUGAGUUUUCAAAUAAGUUUCAAUCUUUCUUCAGUAAUAACAUGGUAAUGAGAUUUGUGUCAAGAGCUUACACUGUUGAUACAAAUUGAUUGUAGUCCGCUUAAAUGAUAUCAAACAUUUCAAAGAUUUCAAAUUUUAUCAUGAUUUUCAGAAUAUUAACACAUGGUAUGUUGUCAUGAGAUUUUUUUCCGUCAUUUUAAAUCACUUUUACUUAGGUUUCUUUCCAUUGUUUGGGAAAGACAUGUAAGCAGUCUGUAAAGAGACAGUGCUCGGAAAUAUCAAGUUGACGCUUUUAACUGUAAAAAAUGAAGCGUAAAUUUCUCAUUAUUUUAAAGGACAGACUACUUGAAUAUAAAAUAAAUGUCGAGGAAUCACAAUUUUCAGACAAUAAUAAAGCUCGGCAGAAAUUUUUAAAAGCUGUAUGAAUAUAUAUUGUUAUGUACAUCUUUCAAAUAUCUUUAUAUAAAUACAUUGUGUUUACUAUUUUUUCUCAUUGUGGAACAGUUAUAUCUAAACCAAUAUGUAAAAGAUAUGCAAGGAGGUAAUCGUAAAAAAUGAAUCAUUCUUUAUACUGUAUCCCUUCCCACAAGGAGGAAAAGUGAUGAGCGCACUGAUUUAAAUAAUUCAACACGUCAGAAAGGUAUUUCAGUCUGACAUAAACUUUUAGACUUUUGUCAAGUUUACAUACAGUCACACAUCAAACGUGUGUAAUCUCAUCGUCAUAGUCAAUAAAAUUAUAAUACGACAUUGGUCAAAAUAACAGACAUUGUCUAAUUUUACUCCUUUUUGAGUACUAUUUUUUAAAUUCUCUUCUGUUUAUUAUUUUUAUCACUAUUAACAUGGUGUAGAGGUUAUGAAGCCUGUACAUCAGAGAUAAUAAAAUACAAUUUAAAAAGCAAGUAACAGACCGUAGAAGAGAUUAAACAGUAUCCAAAAAGGAAUACUAGAACCGGCCCAUUGAUAAUAUAACUAAUAAACUUUCGCCAACAAUGUAAGUAUUAUCCAGUAUUCAUUUAGUUUGACAAGUUUUAAAUAACUGUUUGCUUAGAUGAAGCAGCCUGAUACCGAAUUUGUUGUCAAUAUAUAUAAACAAUUCAACCUUUAUUAUUUUCUAAAUAGUUCUUAUAAAAUACUGAAUUUAUAGUACUUUGUCGUUUGCAUUUGGUAUUUUGCGAAUAACCAAAAUGUUAAAAAUUCAAAAUAACCAACGUUAAUAAUAUUAACGUAAUGUAUCUCUGCAUAAUCAUAAUAUGUUUCUGAAAAGAAAAUACACAAAAAACCUGUUAAUAAAAACCAAAUGAAACGCGGGAUAUUGAUCAUUGACUCCCUUAUCCGUAAAUGCUGAUAAAAAUCUGUUGUUAUUACCAAGUUCUAAGUAUAAAUAUAUUAAGGCUCUUAAUGCGUAAUAAAUGUUAUGAAAACUUUUAGGAUAUUAAGAUAAGACAGUAGUAAAAGUACGUGACUGUAUUGGACAGUGAUAAUUUAAUAUGUAUAAAUUGUAUAAGCAAGUGACAACUAACGUUUUGGUAAGGUGAAAACUUUUCUUGGUUUUCAAAGCAGUUUGA